GACCGCGUCGCGCAGUGGAUAACACGUCUGCCUACGGAGCAGAAGAUUACAGGUUCGAAUCCUUCCGUGGUCG
rfam:Angiostrongylus cantonensis strain Taiwan genome assembly, scaffold: ACAC_contig0012923